GAUGAACGCUCGCGGCAGGCCUAACACAUGCAAGUCGAGGGAGGAGCUUUCGGGCUUCGACCGGCGUACGGGUGCGUAACGCGUAUACAAUCUGCCUUUCACAUAGGGAUAGCCCGAAGAAAUUUGGAUUAAUACCUAAUGGUAUAUAGGAGUGGCAUCACAUUUAUAUUAAAGCUGAGGCGGUGAAAGAUGAGUAUGCGUUCUAUUAGCUAGUUGGAGAGGUAACGGCUCCCCAAGGCGACGAUAGAUAGGGGUUCUGAGAGGGAUAUCCCCCACACUGGUACUGAGAUACGGACCAGACUCCUACGGGAGGCAGCAGUGAGGAAUAGUGGACAAUGGUCGGAAGACUGAUCCAGCCAUGCCGCGUGCAGGAAGACGGCCUUAUGGGUUGUAAACUGCUUUUGCAGGGGAAGAAUAAGGACUACGAGUAGUUUGAUGACGGUACUCUGCGAAUAAGCAUCGGCUAACUCCGUG
rnacentral:rRNA from 1 species